rnacentral:lncRNA from 1 species
UUCAUGAUGAAAAAAAAGAGCUAAAAGUUGUUUAAAUAAUUUUUUAUUUUACUACAUGCAUAAUAAAAUAUUUAAUUUUUUUACAGUAUUUUUCAUUGCAUAGCAAAGCUAUAUUUUCAAUUGAGGCUAGCAAUGACUCAAAACAUAAGGCUUUAAAAUACGAGAAAGAUAACACGCUAAUUUAUGGUUCAUUAAUUUUUCACUGAAUAGUAAUGGUGGCCUCCACUAUGAAAUUUUUGGCUGUGCCUUGUGAGCUAUUCCAUGGCACUAAACAAUUCGAUAUAAGCCUCCUUAUUAGACUAGAUACAUAGUAUUGCUAACCUAGCAGAAAUAUGCCACACACUCAACCUAUAGCAAUUUCCUAGAAUAAGGAUUGUAGAAGAUUUGUUCCCUACUUAGUGCCCAUAAUUGGAAGUUGAUAAGUAAGGAGCUGCUUUUAAAUCUCCAGUGCUACGUUAAUUCACAUCCAUUCCAAGAAUAAUAUAUUAUAGACAACAAUUUCAAUAUUUAUUUUUUAUUGUACCUAAAACAAAAUUUGAAGUCAAGAAUAUAUAUUUCAUAACAUUUUGGAAAACAUGAAUUUUGGACCAUUUCUAUCUCUCUCUCUCUCUCUCUAACUCUCAUCAAUUUACAAACAUCUGGAUUUUGCUUGAGCAUUCGUUAUCUUCUUUACUUUUCUUAUAUUAUAUGGUCAGAUUAGAAACUCAACCUCUAGCUUUUAUCAGUGCAAUAUAAAAUUUAAUAUUUAACAUUGAAUUGUACCUUAUCGGAACUCUUCUACAUUAUUCUUAUAAUUAAUUGUAAUAAAUAUUAGGCAAAUCUUUCUAUAUUUUUUCUUUUUU